rnacentral:misc_RNA from 1 species
GAUGAAGAACGUAGCGAAAUGCGAUAAGUAAUGCGAAUUGCAGAAUUCCAGUGAGUCAUCGAAUCUUUGAACGCACAUUGCGCCCUUUGGUAUUCCGAAGGGCAUGCCUGUUCGAGCGUCAUUAUCACCCCUCAAGCCCUCGGCUUGGUGUUGGACGGUUUGGUGGAGGCCCCCUCGGGGGCUCCUGCCCCUCCCAAAGACAAUGACGGCGGCCUCGUUGGGCCCCCGGUACACUGAGUUCUUCACGGGACACGUAUCGGACACAUGGGUUUACGGGACACGGUCUGCCUCCCCUCAGGGAGAAUCUUUCUAAGGUUGACCUCGGAUCAGGUAGGGAUACCCGCUGAACUUAAGCAUAUCAAUAAGCGGAGGA